rnacentral:rRNA from 1 species
UACGAAGGGGGCUAGCGUUGUUCGGAAUUACUGGGCGUAAAGCGCACGUAGGCGGAUACUUAAGUUAGGGGUGAAAUCCCGGGGCUCAACCCCGGAACUGCCUUUGAUACUGGGUAUCUGGAGUCCGAGAGAGGUGAGUGGAAUUCCGAGUGUAGAGGUGAAAUUCGUAGAUAUUCGCAAGAACACCAGUGGCGAAGGCGGCUCACUGGCCCGGCAUUGACGCUGAGGAGCGAAAGCCAGGGGAGCAAAGCGGGGAUUAAGAU